CUGGGCACUGUGUGGACACACUUGGUACGACAUGUCUCUGUUUUCAAAAGAAUCAUCCCUACUGAAUGACGCCACGUGGAUAACUACAGCUGUUUUCUUAGCUGUUCCAAUUGUCAAUGACUUGUAAGUGAAAAAGCUUCCCGCUUUGCCCACAACAUCUUGAUUUUAGCGGGGCCCAUCUCUGUAACAAAGAAAUGGGUACUACUCGCACAUACAUGGGAAAUGGAACUCACGCGCUGACUGUAGUUGACACGUCAUUCGGAUUAGGUGAGAAUGUGUGGAGUUGGGACAGAGUGAGGUUCACGGCGGCAGGGGGAAUGGUGAUAUUAAUAAUAAAAAGAAAAUGGAUCACUUUGUCUAUUUUUGUAUGAUCAAUUUAGUUACUUUGC
rnacentral:lncRNA from 1 species